rnacentral:ncRNA from 1 species
AAAGACUUAGUCCUAACCUUACUGUUAAUUCUCGCUAAACGUAUACAUGCAAGUAUCUGCGUUCCAGUGUAAAUGCCCUUAACGUCUUCUUUCCCCAGACAAAAGGAGCAGGUAUCAGGCACACACUUAUCGUAGCCCAAAACACCUUGCUCAGCCACACCCCCACGGGUACUCAGCAGUAACUAACAUUAAGCAAUAAGUGCAAACUUGACUUAGUUAUAGCGACCAUAGGGUUGGUAAAUCUUGUGCCAGCCACCGCGGUCACACAAGAAACCCAAACUAACAGUAACCGGCGUAAAGUGUGGUAACAUGUUAUCGAAAUAGCUAAGACCAAAACACAACUGAGCUGUCAUAAGCCCAAGAUGUACUUAAAACCCCCAUAAAAAUGAUCUUAGUACCUACGACCAAUUUAAAUCCACGAAAGCCAAGACACAAACUGGGAUUAGAUACCCCACUAUGCUUAGCCCUAAAUCCUGGUACUUACGUUACCUAAGUACCCGCCCGAGAACUACGAGCACAAACGCUUAAAACUCUAAGGACUUGGCGGUGCCCUAAACCCACCUAGAGGAGCCUGUUCUAUAAUCGAUAACCCACGAUACACCCAACCAUCUCUUGCCAACACAGCCUAUAUACCGCCGUCGCCAGCUCGCCUAAAAUGAGAGAACAACAGCGAACACAACAGCUAUCCCAGCUAACAAGACAGGUCAAGGUAUAGCCUAUGAGAUGGAAGAAAUGGGCUACAUUUUCUAAAAUAGAAUACUACGAAAAAGGGUGUGAAAUCCCCUUAGAAGGCGGAUUUAGCAGUAAAACAGAAUAAGAGAGUCUAUUUUAAGCUGGCCCUAGGGCACGUACAUACCGCCCGUCACCCUCCUCACAAGCUACAUUACACUUUAUACAUAAUAAAUCACUAAGCUAAAGAUGAGGUAAGUCGUAACAAGGUAAGUGUACCGGAAGGUGCACUUAGCACAC